rnacentral:rRNA from 1 species
ACGGGAGGCAGCAGUGGGGGAUAUUGCACAAUGGGGGAAACCCUGAUGCAGCGACGCCGCGUGAGUGAAGAAGUAUUUCGGUAUGUAAAGCUCUAUCAGCAGGGAAGAAAAUGACGGUACCUGACUAAGAAGCCCCGGCUAACUACGUGCCAGCAGCCGCGGUAAUACGUAGGGGGCAAGCGUUAUCCGGAUUUACUGGGUGUAAAGGGAGCGUAGACGGCGAUGCAAGUCUGAUGUGAACGGCCGGGGCUCAACCCCGGCACUGCAUUGGAAACUGUGUUGCUAGAGUGCAGGGGAGGGAAGUGGAAUUCCUAGUGUAGCGGUGAAAUGCGUAGAUAUUAGGAGGAACACCAGUGGCGAAGGCGGCUUACUGGACUGUAACUGACGCUGAGGCUCGAAAGCGUGGGGAGCAAACAGGAUUAGAUACCCUAGUA